rnacentral:rRNA from 1 species
CAUUGUGGUCCCACCUGAUCCCAUCCCGAACUCAGAAGUGAAACGCAAUCGCGCCGAUGGUAGUGUGGGGUCUCCCCAUGUGAGAGUAGGUC